GAAGCAGCAGGACCCUCAGAAACCAUUUUACUUGCAUUGGAGACUUUGGGACUUGGAUCCUAGUGUUCCUGCUCUUAAGGAAGAAACAAAUACCCACAUGUGCCAUCAGGAUUGCCUCCUCUCUUCACUAGCCACAUGCCGAAUGAUUUUCAGAAAGAGAAUGGCCAUUGGGAAAAGUUUUGGGAAGAGACUAAUAAAAGCAUCUUUGUAAAAUAUG